AGUGUAGUGGAUCAGCACGGCAGACCGGAUAUCUGUAUGUGCGGGUUCGAGUCCCGC
rfam:Dictyocaulus viviparus strain HannoverDv2000 D_viviparus-1.0_Cont262.13, whole genome shotgun sequence.